AUGGACAUGAGCGUCCCUAUUCAGUUCCUUGGGUUCUUGCUUCUCUGGCUUCCAGGUUCCAGAUGUAACAUCCAGAUGACCCAGUCUCCAUCCUCCGUGUCUGUCUUUCUGGGAGACAAAGUUACCAUCAGUUGCAGAGCAAGUGAGAACAUUAACAAUUAUUUGGCCUGGUAUCAGGAGAAACCAGAUGGAACUGUUAAACCCCUAAUUUACUACACAUCCCGUUUACAAUCUGGGGUCCCAUCAAGGUUCAGUGGCAGUGGGUCUAGGACAGAUUAUUCAUUUACCAUCAAUGGUGUGGAGCCUGAAGAUGUUGCAACAUACUAUUGUCAGCAAGGAUAUAACCUUCCCACAAUGAUACAAGUCAUAACAUAA